CAUACAUCCGUGUAAUAAACUCCUUAGGAUUCCAAUAGAGACGCUGAAAUGUGUUACAGUCACCCAUUGUUAUGUCAGAUGGCAUUUAGAACCCCUAGACCGCAUUAUUUCUCGCAAGCUGCACCUCCAUAACAGAUCUCUCUCUCUUAUCUCUCAGAAGUUCAGAACCCAUUUCUCUCCAAAAUGAAAAGAAAAAUUUCCGUCUCUCUCUAGAAAAUCCAAAGAGACUCACGGAGCUCUUGCCAUGUUCAAAACUCGUAACCCAACCAGUAAGUCAAACCUCCAUGUCACAGCAGCUCCUGCAUCCUUUCAAAGAGGUGUCUCCGUAGCCUUCCAGAACUGCAACAAACAAACCUCUGUGAGUCCCGAGCCUGUGGUAGAGUGAGCUGAAAAGUGACGAUGUUGAAGGAAGUCCUCCAAACUUGUAGAUCUGAGCCGAUGUACACCACGCACUCGGAUUGUCAGCAAAAUCCGAAACCAGUUAGUGUCUGCCAUAGAAAUGAUGCACAGUGCAGCUCUAAUCAUCCCACAGAGGUGCUUGAGCUGGAUGCUAGACAGCAGCAAGGACACGGCAACAGAGGCGACAUUGCUGAUUAGAGGCAUGCAUAGGGAAAAUACCCCAGAUCGGCAAAGGAAACGUGAUGACAAAACCAUUAGCUUACACUGAAGAAUAGCCGCUUAGCAAAAGAGAGAGAUUUAUUUGAUAAUGAACCCCCAGCUGAUGCAUUAACAUGGCUUUUGGAUGUAGGAUUAAGCCCAUCAAAGAAAAUAUUCAUUUGUGUACCUGGAUCAAUAUUAACAUGUGGACAUUUUAUAUACAUCUCUGUAUAUCUCUCCCACGCUUCAUGAAAUUCUUCGUUUGGCUUUUGAGUGAAUGUCAUAAUCUCCUGCUUGUAAUUCAAUGUCUUGGAUGCCGGAUAAUAUUUGUUCAGGAAUCUUGUAUGCAAUUGUUGCCAAGUAGUAAUGCUAUUAGCUGGUAGAGUGAAUAA